CCACCAGAUCACCCGUUAGUCUAGUUUCUACUCCGUUUCCUCCUUGGGUCAAUUCUCUCGGUCCACAAGAGUAUCCCCUCUCACUUGUUUUACUUCCCUCUCCAGGUUAAAUUCCGGCUGGAGAAUCUCCUACUCCCAACCUCUCCCCCAACUUCCUAUUUAAGCUCUCAAUGAGGUCGGACGAGCCUCCAUCCUAGUAGUCUAUUUCCCUCCUACUUAGAUGAAGUCCAUCCGAGCGACAGUCGUUGUCCGUAAUGCUUCCAAUGACCGUACAUCACAAAGCCCUCCUAUAGCACCACUGCCUGAGCCAUCUGUUAAUCGUCAUAAUCUUGUCACUCACUGGAGAAAACUCAGA